rnacentral:rRNA from 1 species
GACGUAGGGGGCAAGCGUUGUUCGGAAUUACUGGGUGUAAAGGGUUCGUAGGCGGUGCGGCAAGUUGGGAGUGAAAUCUCUGGGCUUAACCCAGAGGCUGCUUCCAAAACUGCUGUGCUUGAGUGUGGGAGAGGCGCGUGGAAUUGCAGGUGUAGCGGUGAAAUGCGUAGAUAUCUGCAGGAACACCCGUGGCGAAAGCGGCGCGCUGGACCACUACUGACGCUGAGGAACGAAAGCUAGGGGAGCAAACAGG